rnacentral:rRNA from 1 species
AUGGCCGCCUCCGCCUCUUGCCUUUCUCUUGUGGUGCUAGUGGCUCUGGCCACGGUGGCGUCGGCGCAGCUGUCGCCGACGUUCUACGACACGUCAUGCCCCAGGGCCCUGGCCACCAUCAAGAGCGGCGUCAUGGCCGCCGUGAGCAGCGACACCCGCAUGGGCGCGUCGCUGCUCCGGCUGCACUUCCACGACUGCUUCGUCCAAGGCUGUGACGCGUCUGUUCUACUGUCUGGCAUGGAACAAAACGCUCUCCCCAACAACGGGUCGCUGCGGGGCUUCGAAGUCAUCGACAGCAUCAAGACGCAGAUCGAGGCCAUCUGCAGCCAGACCGUCUCCUGCGCCGACAUCCUCACCGUCGCCGCCCGUGACUCCGUCGUCGCCCUUGGAGGGCCGUCAUGGACAGUCCCUCUGGGGAGAAGAGAUUCCCUAGAUGCAAACGUGCCGGAGGCAAACAGCGACCUCCCAGGCCCUACAUCUAGCCGGACAGAUCUUGAGGACGCGUUCCGCAAGAAGAACCUGACAACGGUCGACAUGGUGGCUCUCUCGGGCGCGCACACCAUCGGCCAGGCGCAGUGCGGGACCUUCAAGGACAGGAUCUACAAUGAGACUAACAUCGACACGACCUUCGCCACAUCUCUCCGGCCCAACUGCCCCCGGUCCAACGGCGACAACAACCUGGCGAACCUGGACACGACGACGGCCAACACGUUCGACAACGUCUACUACACCAACCUCAUGUCACAGAAGGGGCUCCUGCAUUCUGACCAGGUGCUCUUCAACAACGACACCACCGACAACACCGUCCGGAACUUCGCGUCCAACCCGGCGGCGUUCAGCAGCGCCUUCACGACGGCCAUGAUCAAGAUGGGCAACAUCGCACCCAAGACGGGGACGCAGGGGCAGAUCAGGCUCAGCUGCUCCAGGGUGAACUCGUGA